UACGGAGGGGGCUAGCGUUGUUCGGAAUACUGGGCGUAAAGCGUGCGCAGGCGGUGAUGUAAGACAGAUGUGAAAAUCCCCCGGGCUCAACCUGGGAACUGCAUUUGUGACUGCAUCGCUGGAGUGCGGCAGAGGGGGAUGGAAUUCCGCGUGUAGCAGUGAAAUGCGUAGAUAUGCGGAGGAACACCGAUGGCGAAGGCAAUCCCCUGGGCCUGCACUGGACGCUCAUGCACGAAAGCGUGGGGAGCAAACAGG
rnacentral:rRNA from 1 species